GUGUUCACUUCAGCAGCAUAUAUACUAACAUUGGAAAGACAGAGAUUAGCAUGGCCCCUGCGCAAUGAUGACAAGCAAAUCUGUGAGGCAUCCCAUAUUUUU
rnacentral:snRNA from 1 species